rnacentral:rRNA from 1 species
CCUACGGGAGGCAGCAGUGAGGAAUAUUGGACAAUGGGCGCAAGCCUGAUCCAGCCAUGCCGCGUGCAGGAAGAAGCAUCUAUGGUGUGUAAACUGCUUUUGUACAGGAAGAAACACUCCCUCGUGAGGGAGCUUGACGGUACUGUAAGAAUAAGGACCGGCUAACUCCGUGCCAGCAGCCGCGGUAAUACGGAGGGUCCGAGCGUUAUCCGGAAUCAUUGGGUUUAAAGGGUCCGUAGGCGGUUUAAUAAGUCAGUGGUGAAAUCUGGUCGCUCAACGAUCAAACGGCCAUUGAUACUGUUAGACUUGAAUUAUAAGGAAGUAACUAGAAUAUGUAGUGUAGCGGUGAAAUGCUUAGAUAUUACAUGGAAUACCAAUUGCGAAGGCAGGUUACUACUUAUGGAUUGACGCUGAUGGACGAAAGCGUGGGGAGCGAACAGGAUUAGAUACCCUGGUAGUCCACGCCGUAAACGAUGGAUACUAGCUGUUCGGAGCAAUCUGAGUGNGUAGACGAAGUAGAUAGUAUACCACCGUCGGUAGGUACGUUCGCGAGAAGAGAACGACGAAGUAAGUAGUAGUACGUCGUAGAGUAGACGACGACGGACGACGACGGGAGGGAGGAG